rnacentral:rRNA from 1 species
AUUGAACGCUGGCGGCAGGCCUAACACAUGCAAGUCGAGCGGAUGAAGGGAGCUUUCUCCUUGAUUCAGCGGCGGACGGGUGAGUAAUGCCUAGGAAUCUGCCUGGUAGUGGGGGAUAACGUCCGGAAACGGGCGCUAAUACCGCAUACGUCCUGAGGGAGAAAGUGGGGGAUCUUCUGGCCUCACGCUAUCAGAUGAGCCUAGGUCGGAUUAGCUAGUUGGUGGGGUAAAGGCCUACCAAGGCGACGAUCCGUAACUGGUCUGAGAGGAUGAUCAGUCACACUGGAACUGAGACACGGUCCAGACUCCUCCGGGAGGCAGCAGUGGGGAAUAUUGGACAAUGGGCGAAAGCCUGAUCCAGCCAUGCCGCGUGUGUGAAGAAGGUCUUCGGAUUGUAAAGCACUUUAAGUUGGGAGGAAGGGCAGUAAGUUAAUACCUUGCUGUUUUGACGUUACCAACAGAAUAAGCACCGGCUAACUUCGUG